rnacentral:rRNA from 1 species
GAGUUUGAUCUUGGCUCAGAUUGAACGCUGGCGGCAUGCCUUACACAUGCAAGUCGAACGGCAGCAUGAUCUAGCUUGCUGGAUUGAUGGCGAGUGGCGAACGGGUGAGUAAUACAUCGGAACGUGCCCUGUAGUGGGGGAUAACUAGUCGAAAGAUUAGCUAAUACCGCAUACGACCUGAGGGUGAAAGUGGGGGACCGCGAGGCCCCAUGCUAUAGGAGCGGCCGAUGUCUGAUUAGCUAGUUGGUGGGGUAAAGGCCCACCAAGGCGACGAUCAGUAGCUGGUCUGAGAGGACGAUCAGCCACACUGGGACUGAGACACGGCCCAGACUCCUACGGGAGGCAGCAGUGGGGAAUUUUGGACAAUGGGCGAAAGCCUGAUCCAGCAAUGCCGCGUGUGUGAAGAAGGCCUCGGUU